UACGAGGGGGGGCAAAUGUUGUUCGGAAUCACUGGGCGUAAAGCGUGCGCAGGCGGUUAUGUAAGACAGGUGUGAAAUCCCCGGGCUUAACCUGGGAAUUGCAUUUGUGACUGCAUGGCUAGAGUUUGGCAGAGGGGGGGUAGAAUUCCACGUGUAGCAGUGAAAUGCGUAGAUAUGUGGAGGAACACCAGUGGCGAAGGCGGCUCACUGGCCCGAUACUGACGCUGAGGAGCGAAAGGCGUGGGGAGCGAACAGG
rnacentral:rRNA from 1 species